rnacentral:sRNA from 1 species
UCAGCACGGACUGCCGAGAUUGGAGCCCC